GCCCUAGUAACGGCGAGUGAAGCGGCAACAGCUCAAAUUUGAAAUCUGGCUUUCGGGCCCGAGUUGUAAUUUGUAGAGGAUGAUUUUGGCGCGGUGCCUUCCGAGUUCCCUGGAACGGGACGCCUUAGAGGGUGAGAGCCCCGUACGGUUGGACACCAAGCCUCUGUAAAUCUCCUUCGACGAGUCGAGUAGUUUGGGAAUGCUGCUCUAAAUGGGAGGUAAAUUCCUUCUAAAGCUAAAUACCGGCCAGAGACCGAUAGCGCACAAGUAGAGUGAUCGAAAGAUGAAAAGCACUUUGAAAAGAGGGUUAAAUAGCACGUGAAAUUGUUGAAAGGGAAGCAUUUACUACCAGACCUUCUCCUGGCGGAUCAUGCGGUGUUCUCACCGCUGCACUUCGCCUGGUUUAGGCCAGCAUCGGUUUUCGUAGGGGGAUAAAAGCUUUAGGAACGUAGCUCCCUCGGGAGUGUUAUAGCCUUUUGCAUAAUACCCUUACGGGGACCGAGGACCGCGCUUUUGCAAGGAUGCUGGCAUAAUGGUAGUCAAUGACCCGUCUUGAAACACGGACCAAGGAGUCGAACAUUUGUGCGAGUGUUUGGGUGUUAAACCCUCACGCGUAAUGAAAGUGAACGUAGGUGAGAGCCCUUACGGGUGCAUCAUCGACCGAUCUUGAUGUCUUCGGAUGGAUUUGAGUAAGAGCAUAACUGUUCGGACCCGAAAGAUGGUGAACUAUGCGUGGAUAGGGUGAAGCCAGAGGAAACUUUGGUGGAGGCUCGCAGCGGUUCUGACGUGCAAAUCGAUCGUCAAAUCUGCGCAUGGGGGCGAAAGACUUAUCGA
rnacentral:rRNA from 1 species